CAAUAGCGUAUAUUAAAGUUGUUGCAGUUAAAAAGCUCGUAGUUGGAUUUCUGGUCGGAGCGACCGGUCGGCGUCCUUUGUGGCGUGUGCACUGUUGUCGGCUCCGUCCAUCCUAGUGGGAAGGCGCGUGGGCAUUCAUUUGUUCGCGCGUGGCCCCGCUACGUUUACUGUGAACAAAUUAGAGUGUUUAACGCAGGCUUAUGUCGCGAAUAGAUUAGCAUGGAAUAAUAAGAUAGGACUUCGGCACCGUUUCGGCGCUUGCGUCGGGUACGAUUUCUAUUUUGUUGGUUUCUAGAGCUGAAGUAAUGAUUGAUAGGGAUAGUUGGGGGUGCUCGUAUUGCUGGGCCAGAGGUGAAAUUCUCGGAUUCUAGUAAGACGAACUUUUGCGAAAGCAUUCACCAAGGAUGUCUUCUUUAAUCAAGAACGAAAGUUAGAGGUUCGAAGACGAUUAGAUACCGU
rnacentral:rRNA from 1 species